GGGAAGGUCCCCACCAUGGCCUGGACGGUGCUUCUGCUCGGGCUGCUGGCUUACGGCUCAGGGGUAGAUGCUCAGACUGUGGUCCAGGAGCCAGCACUGUCAGUGUCUGCAGGAGGGACGGUCACCCUCACCUGUGGCCUCAGCUCUGGGUCAGUCACUACCAGUAACUACCCCGGCUGGUUCCAGCAGACCCCAGGACAGGCUCCCAGAACUUUUAUCUACUAUACAAACAGCCGCCUCUCUGGGAUCCCUGAUCGCUUCUCUGGCUCCAUCUCUGGGAACAAAGCCGCCCUCACCAUCACGGGGGUCCAGCCUGAGGACGAGGCUGUCUAUUACUCUGCUCUAUACACCGGAUACAGGGACAGGACUGGGGUCCUCCCAGCGUGGAGCCCCCAGGGCAUCAGCACUGGCUCGGGAGGGGAGCAGAAACCAGGGGAGCCUGAGGGACGGUGA